rnacentral:rRNA from 1 species
UACAGAGGGGGCCAGCGUUAUUCGGAAUUAUUGGGCGUAAAGGGCGCGUAGGCGGCUUGGCAAGUGGAUGGUGAAAUCCCGUCGGCUUAACCGAGGAACUGCCGUCCAAACUGCUUCGCUUGAGACCGGGAGAGGUGAGUGGAAUUCCCAGUGUAGCGGUGAAAUGCGUAGAUAUUGGGAGGAACACCAGUGGCGAAGGCGGCUCACUGGACCGGUACUGACGCUGAUGCGCGAAAGCGUGGGGAGCAAACGGGG